UCGAUGCUGACGUCCGCAGUAGGUUCAGUUCGCGUCCGGACUUCGUAGGUGGAGGUUGCCGUGCUCUCAGUUCGGUGGGAACGGUAAACGCGGACGCCUUCGGACCCUGGUCUGAGAGGGAAGUGUCCACUAGGCUUUCCUCUCGACUUUGCGAGCACGUCACCGGUUUAAGACGCCGUUGCGUUUGCGGAAGGAGCCCGCUUCCGAGAAGGAAGUCACGUCCUCGGCCGCCGUGUCAAAGUACGUAAACGAUAUGUGGCCCGGCUCUCCGCAGGAGAAAGCGUCACCAUCGGCGUCGGGCUCGGGCCGCUCCAGCCGCCUGUCGUCGCGCUCCCGCAGCCGCUCUUCGUCCCGCAGCUCCGGCCCCGACUCGCGCAGCGCCAGCCGCUCGUCGCGCAGCCAUAGCCGGUCGCGGCGGAGCAAGCGCUCCCGGUCCCGGUCCCGCAGGCGCCACCAGCGCAAGUACAGGCGCUACUCGCGGUCGUACUCACGCAGCCGGUCCCGGUCCCGAGGCCGCCGCUAUCACCGAGGUAGCUUUUACGGGCCGUCGCGGAGGUACUGCCAGUCGCCGUCGCCCUGCCGGUCCCGGAGCAGGUCGCGCUCCCGCGGGAGGUCGUAUCACAGGAGGUCGUACUACGCGAUCACGCGCGGCCGUCGCUACUACGGGUUCGGCCGCACGGUGUACCCCGAGGACCGCCCCCGGUGGAGGGAAAGAUCCAGAACCAGGUCGCGCAGCAGGAGCAGAACUCCCUUCCGCCUAAGCGAGAAAGAUCGAAUGGAGCUGCUAGAAAUAGCAAAAGCCAAUGCAGCAAAAGCUCUUGGAACAGCCAACUUUGACUUGCCAGCGAGUCUCCGAACUGUAGCCAAGGAAACAAGCCAGAGAGCAGCUGUUUUGAGCAGUGGCGCAAAGAUGGAGGUAAGUAUCUUCAGAGGGCUACUGCCAGCAAAUCUCCUUCCCCUGUUAAGAGUUUACUGUAGACAGCCCUCCUGGGACAUCUUAAAUCAUUUGUCCAGAACAAAACUAACCUUAAUCUGACAAGUACUAGUUCAUCUCCAGGAAACUGAGAGGUGAUGAACUUGUUUUCAUUCUGACACUUGGCCAGUUUCCAAAACAGUAAAGCCACUGGCUGUAUUAUUGGUAGUACUUUGUUUUUUUCUUACUCUGUCUAGUCUUUAGAGACUGGAGUGUUCUAUCAAUAGCUCUCACUUACAGCAUUGUUCCCAAAAGUCUGUGUUCAGUAUACAGUAUAGUUUAUCUGCUUUAUUUCUGUCUUAUAGAAAUCAUGAAUGUGGUCUCCAGACAAUGAUGAAGAAAAUCUGUUGAUGUUUUGAGUGAUUACAGAAGAAGAGGCCUGCUUCACUUGCAGAUAAGUUUAUUACAAUUCUCCAGAAUUACAAAGGAUGUGCAUUGGCGUAUUGCACUGUACUUAGAAGUUAUUUGGUGUGAAACCUGAAUCUUAAAAAGUUGAUAAUUUGGUCUGGGGAUAUAGCUCAGUUGGUCUAGAGUACAUAACAUCAGGGUUAGUUCCCAAUAGUGUAAACUGGGUGUAUAGUGCUCUACCCCCGUGAUCUCAGCACUUGGGGGACAGGAUUAUUCAAGGUCAUCCUUGGCUACAUAAUGAAUUAGGAGGUCAGCCAGGGGAUGAAGAGACCUGGUCUCAAAAAAAUUGCUUUAUGGAAAUUUAAGGUAAAAGUUGUACAACGAAGGUGGUUUGUCUGUGACCUUGGGGUCCGCCUACCGUUUGCUUAGGCAAGAAGUGCUUCUUGAGAUGAUUGAGGCACCCUCUGCAAAUGCCUCCAUUCUUUUAACAAAGCAUUUUCUAUUGCACUUACUCAAAAAUGAGUUAUAUUCACAACAAAGAAUCAGGUAUUCCUGGGGAACUGUCUACUUCUAAGUCAGUCUUAAGUGGAAACAGCAGUUUCUUUGUUGUCUAUAGCUUGUUUACUGUGGCAAUAGAUUGAAUUUGGUUUGUGUCCACAUCUACAUUUGUGUGCAAUUGGGCUGUUUUUUAUACAGUAUUCAAAAUCUGAGGCUAUGUUUAAAAAUUCUCUACCCCUCUAGCUCUCAGAAAAGCAAGCUGAAGAUGAAACUGAAACUCCCAGUGAGAAAUCUUCUACACAAAGAAACAUAGCCUUCAGCUCUAAUAAUUCCAUAGCAAAGCCGCUACAGAAAACAGCUAAAGCUGCUACUGAAGAGACAUCAUCAGGAUCAC